rnacentral:rRNA from 1 species
AAUUGCGAAGGCAGCUUUCUGGAUCAUUACUGACACUGAGGAACGAAAGCAUGGGUAGCGAAGAGGAUUAGAUACCCUCGUAGUCCAUGCCGUAAACGAUGUGUGUUAGACGUUGGAAAUUUAUUUUCAGUGUCGCAGCGAAAGCGAUAAACACACCGCCUGGGGAGUACGACCGCAAGGUUAAAACUCAAAUGAAUUGACGGGGACCCGCACAAGUAGUGGAGCAUGUGGUUUAAUUCGAAGAUACGCGCAGAACCUUACCAACACUUGACAUGUUCGUCGCGACUUUAAGAGAUUAAAGUUUUCGGUUCGGCCGGACGAAACACAGGUGCUGCAUGGCUGUCGUCAGCUCGUGUCGUGAGAUGUUGGGUUAAGUCCCGCAACGAGCGCAACCCUCACUUUUAGUUGCCAUCAUUAAGUUGGGCACUCUGAAAGAACUGCCAGUGAUAAGCUGGAGGAAGGUGGGGAUGACGUCAAGUCCUCAUGGCCCUUACGUGUUGGGCUACACACGUGCUACAAUGGUAUCUACAACAGGAAGCAAAACGGCGACGUUAAGCAAAUCCUUAAAAGAUACCUCAGUUCGGAUUGUACUCUGCAACUCGAGUACAUGAAGCUGGAAUUACUAGUAAUCGUGGAUCAGCGUGCCACGGUGAAUGCGUUCCCGGGUCUUGUACACACCGCCCGUCACACCAUGGGAGUUGGUUCUACCUUAAGGCAAGGUUUAAAACCCUUGACCACGGUAUAGUCAGCGACUGGGGUGAAGUCGUAACAAGGUAGCCGUAGGGGAACCUGCGGCUG